GGGAGUGAAAUAGAACCUGAAACCCUGCACUUACAAGCUGUGGAAGCACAUUUCUUGUGUGACCGCGUACUUUUUGUAGAACGGGCCAACGAGUUACGUUAAGUAGCAAGGUUAAGCACUUAAGGUGCGGAGCCGUAGCGAAAGCGAGUUUUAACUGAGCGUUCAGUUACUUGACGUAGACCCGAAACCGGGCGACCUACCCAUGAGCAGGAUGAAGCGAAAGUAAAAUUUCGUGGAGGUCCGAACCCACGAGCGUUGAAAAGCUCGGGGAUGACUUGUGGGUAGCGGUGAAAUUCCAAUCGAGCCCGGAGAUAGCUGGUUCUCCCCGAAAUAGCUUUAGGGCUAGCCUCAAGGUGAGAGAUACGGAGGUAGAGCACUG
rnacentral:rRNA from 1 species